rnacentral:rRNA from 1 species
AUUGAACGCUGGCGGCGUGCCUAAUACAUGCAAGUCGAACGAGGUGCUUUUGUAGCAAUACGAGAGUAUCCUAGUGGCGAACGGGUGAGUAACGCGUUGGUGACCUACCCCAAAGUGUGGGAUAACAGUCCGAAAGGAUUGCUAAUACCGCAUGUGGUCUUCGGAUUUAGAAACUGAUGACUAAAGGAGCAAUUCGCUUUGGGAGGGACCUGCGUCCCAUCAGCUAGUUGGUGAGGUAAUGGCUCACCAAGGCUACGACGGGUAGGGGACCUGAGAGGGUGACCCCCCACAAUGGAACUGAAACACGGUCCAUACACCUACGGGUGGCAGCAGUAGGGAAUAUUGCACAAUGGGCGAAAGCCUGAUGCAGCAACGCCGCGUGUGCGAUGAAGGCCUUCGGGUCGUAAAGCACUUUUCUGGGAGAUGAGCAAGGACAGUAUCUCAGGAAUAAGUCUCGGCUAACUACGUGCCAGCAGCCGCCGUAAUAC